AUGCACGCUGGCGGCGUGCCUAAUCCAUGCAAGUCGCGCGAACGGACGAGAAGCUUGCUUUUCUGAUGUUAGCGGCGGACGGGUGAGUAACACGUGGAUAACCUACCUAUAAGACUGGGAUAACUUCGGGAAACCGGAGCUAAUACCGGAUAAUAUUUUGAACCGCAUGGUUCAAAAGUGAAAGACGGUCUUGCUGUCACUUAUAGAUGGAUCCGCGCUGCAUUAGCUAGUUGGUAAGGUAACGGCUUACCAAGGCAACGAUGCAUAGCCGACCUGAGAGGGUGAUCGGCCACACUGGAACUGAGACACGGUCCAGACUCCUACGGGAGGCAGCAGUAGGGAAUCUUCCGCAAUGGGCGAAAGCCUGACGGAGCAACGCCGCGUGAGUGAUGAAGGUCUUCGGAUCGUAAAACUCUGUUAUUAGGGAAGAACAUAUGUGUAAGUAACUGUGCACAUCUUGACGGUACCUAAUCAGAAAGCCACGGCUAACUACGUG
rnacentral:rRNA from 1 species